CUUAUUUUUUGCGCCUUAAAGAGGAUUUGUAUCUUGUUUCGCUUUUUUAUUAUUAAAACACAUCAAUAAUAAACAAUCAUGAAUGACAUCAGUUAGAUAAAAACAAUCUAAUUAUUUAAAAUUUCAAAAAUGGGACUAUGUAGAAAUCGGAGACGGAUAUGAAUUCAAUAAUUGCGUUAACAUAGUAAGGUAUUCUUUAUCUUCGUGAGUCAGUCUUUGGUCACUAAUGAAACAGAUUUCGAGGAUUUAAUUUAUUUUACAUUACCAUCUGAAUGAAGAGAAGUCCAAACUUAUCAAUAUACUCUUUUUUUUUUAAAACAGGAUGAUUAAGACAAGGAUACUAAUAGAUGGAUUCUUCUUGGUAAAUGAACGUUCUUCAUUGAACUGGACGGAUAUAAUGAGGAGCAAUGAAAAGAUUCCUUUAAUUCCUGAAGACAAAUCAUAAUUAAAUUUCAAUAUAACUAAGUAAUCUGUAAUGUUUGUGUUUUGCUUCCGUGUUUAUUAUAUGACGUAAUUGUAUUUAACUACCUUACAAUGAUAAAGUUCAAACUGUGAGUAAAUCAUACAUAUUUCAACAUUAAGCCGUCGAAACCGUUCCAAUCCCAUAUGCACUUCCUAUUUUCUUAUAAUUUCCUCACGUUUUAAUUUGUUAUUAUUAUUAUUUAUUUAUUUUUGCUUAACGGAGGAGAAAUCAUAAGGAAAUACCUGAAACCUAAAUACAUAAAAAAAAAAACCUUUUAGUUUUUAAAUUUAUGUAGUUUCAAUAACCAAGACUCGUCCCAUCGACGUCACCAGAAAUAGAAAAAGAGAUAAAUUUAUUUAAUAAAUCUUCUUGCCUAGCCAUUUUCUUGUUGCCUAACCUUUAUCUAGUAUUAUUGGAGCUAUUGCCGUAAAAGUGGACUGAAGGAUGAUAAUAACAGAAAAAGAAGAAAUGAUAUGAAGGCAAGCAAUCCAGCGAAUCCACUUUAAAACUACUAGGAAUGAAAAAAUAAAAAAUUGCACUCAAAUAAAGAGGCUUACUACCCUUUUCCUGCAACAACAAAAUGAAAAAUUACUAAUAUGAAAAUUUUUCUUUUCUUAAGCUAUUGAUCGAUACAUUAAUUAGACUUUUCAAAAUGUUCCACAAUGUUAAAUUCAUACACUGCUUAACUUAUUCUAACUAUAUAAAUCCCUUACCUUAAUAAUUUAUUUCAUAUACAAACGAGUUACAAAUUUGUUACUAACUACUUUUGUUGUUCAUUUAACAUAUUUUAAUUUAAUUAUUACUUUUAAAGGCUAGAUUUUAUUUGUGAUAUAAUGGUGAAAAUAUUAUUGGGAAGGUAAAUCAUCGGUUAAGUUGAAUAAAAAUCUGUAACAGUU
rnacentral:lncRNA from 1 species